rnacentral:rRNA from 1 species
AGCGAACGCUGGCGGCAUGCUUAACACAUGCAAGUCGCACGGUCGGGCUUCGGUUCGGCAGUGGCGGACGGGUGAGGAACGCGUAGGUAUCUGUCCUUGAAUGGGGGAUAACCACGGGAAACUGUGGCUAAUACCGCAUGAAGCCUGAGGGCCAAAGGUCGCGAGACCGUUUGAGGGGGAGCCUGCGUCCGAUUAGCUUGUUGGUGGGGUAAAGGCCUACCAAGGCUGUGAUCGGUAGCUGGUCUGAGAGGAUGAUCAGCCACACUGGGACUGAGAC